GCAAGUCGAACGAGAACGGGAUUGCUUGCAAUCCUUAGUAGAGUGGCGCACGGGUGAGUAACACGUAGAUAAUCUACCUUCAAGCCUGGGAUAACUAUUCGAAAGGAUGGCUAAUACCGGAUGAAGUGCAUCGGCAUAAGUUGAUGUAUGAAAGGUUGCCUCUUCUUGAAAGCAAUUGUUUGAAGAUGAGUCUGCGGACCAUUAGUUUGUUGGUGGGGUAAAGGCCUACCAAGACUACGAUGGUUAGCUGGUCUGAGAGGAUGAUC
rnacentral:rRNA from 1 species